GGCUUAGUGGUCUAGUAGUAUGAUUCUCGCUUUGGGUUAGUCUGAAUGCGAGAGGUCCCGGGUUCAAUUCCCGGCUGAGCCC
rfam:Aspergillus cristatus strain GZAAS20.1005 Scaffold_Scf_4, whole genome shotgun sequence.